AUAUUGCGCAAUGGAGGAAACUCUGACGCAGUGACGCCGCGUAUAGGAAGAAGGUUUUCGGAUUGUAAACUAUUGUCGUUAGGGAAGAAAAUGACGGUACCUGACUAAGAAGCCCCGGCUAACUACGUGCCAGCAGCCGCGGUAAUACGUAGGGGGCAAGCGUUAUCCGGAUUUACUGGGUGUAAAGGGAGCGUAGACGGCUGUGCAAGUCUGGAGUGAAAGCCCGGGGCUCAACCCCGGGACUGCUUUGGAAACUGUACGGCUGGAGUGCUGGAGAGGCAAGCGGAAUUCCUAGUGUAGCGGUGAAAUGCGUAGAUAUUAGGAGGAACACCAGUGGCGAAGGCGGCUUGCUGGACAGUAACUGACGUUGAGGCUCGAAAGCGUGGGGAGCAAACA
rnacentral:rRNA from 1 species